GCCUAAUUCUGCCUUUUCUCCCCCGGGGGCCGUGCCUUUUGUCUUCAGGAGUCUUUUCCCCCCAUUAUCCCUCCGGGGAGGGGGGGCGUACGUCCGAGCAGCCCGCCGAGGGGCCGGGGCCUGCCGGGGGCCGCCACUAACGUGGCACCGGGAGGGAGCUCGGGGGAGG